UACAGAGGGUGCGAGCGUUGUCCGGAAUCACUGGGCGUAAAGGGCGCGUAGGUGGCGCUCCAAGUCCGUGGUGAAAGCUCGAUGCUCAACAUCGAGUCGGCCACGGAGACUGGAGGGCUCGAGCACUGUAGGGGCAGAUGGAAUUCCGGGUGUAGCGGUGGAAUGCGUAGAGAUCCGGAAGAACACCGGUGGCGAAGGCGG
rnacentral:rRNA from 1 species